AUGGGCCGUAUCAGCAUCGGUGACAUGCAACCGGCUGUCUUUGACGCCCUGCUCCAUUUCAUCUACACCGAUUCGCUGUCCACCAUGGUUGAUCUUGGGCGUGAUGACUACACGGAGAUUGUCAGGCAUUUGCUUGUCGCGACGGAUCGGUACGCCAUGGAGAGGUUGAAGAUCAUAUGUGAAGGCAUCCUCUGUACCAGCAUUGAUGCAAAGACCGCGGUGACCACACUGGCUUUGGCUGAUCAGCAUCGUUGCGAUAAGUUGAAUGAUGCUUGCAUUCAAUUCAUUGCCUCUUUGAGUACAACGGAAAUGGAUGAUGUGAUCGCAAGUCAAGAGAAUGUUGAGCUCAAAACAACAUCUCCGCUGGUUUUAGUUGAGCUGUUGGAGAAGACAAAUAGGCUCGGCAAAUCAAAGUCUUUAGUUCAUAUUGCUAGUUUUUAG
rnacentral:rRNA from 1 species